rnacentral:rRNA from 1 species
GGUGACUGCGUACCUUUUGUAUAAUGGGUCAGCGACUUAUAUUCUGUAGCAAGGUUAACCGCAUAGGGGAGCCGAAGGGAAACCGAGUCUUAAUUGGGCGUUAAGUUGCAGGGUAUAGACCCGAAACCCGGUGAUCUAGCCAUGGGCAGGUUGAAGGUUGGGUAACACUAACUGGAGGACCGAACCGACUAAUGUUGAAAAAUUAGCGGAUGACCUGUGGCUGGGGGUGAAAGGCCAAUCAAACCGGGAGAUAGCUGGUUCUCCCCGAAAGCUAUUUAGGUAGCGCCUCGUGAACUCAUCUCCGGGGGUAGAGCACUGUUUCGGCUAGGGGGCCAUCCCGGCUUACCAACCCGAUGCAAACUGCGAAUACCGGAGAAUGUUAUCACGGGAGACACACGGCGGGUGCUAACGUCCGUCGUGAAGAGGGAAACAACCCAGACCGCCAGCUAAGGUCCCAAAGUCAUGGUUAAGUGGGAAACGAUGUGGGAAGGCCCAGACAGCCAGGAUGUUGGCUUAGAAGCAGCCAUCAUUUAAAGAAAGCGUAAUAGCUCACUGGUCGAGUCGGCCUGCGCGGAAGAUGUAACGGGGCUAAACCAUGCACCGAAGCUGCGGCAGCGACACUGUGUGUUGUUGGGUAGGGGAGCGUUCUGUAAGCCGUUGAAGGUGUCCUGUGAGGGGUGCUGGAGGUAUCAGAAGUGCGAAUGCUGACAUAAGUAACGAUAAAGCGGGUGAAAAGCCCGCUCGCCGGAAGACCAAGGGUUCCUGUCCAACGUUAAUCGGGGCAGGGUGAGUCGACCCCUAAGGCGAGGCCGAAAGGCGUAGUCGAUGGGAAACGGGUUAAUAUUCCCGUACUUGGUGUUACUGCGAAGGGGGGACGGAGAAGGCUAUGUUGGCCGGGCGACGGUUGUCCCGGUUUAAGCGUGUAGGCUGGUUUUCCAGGCAAAUCCGGAAAAUCAAGGCUGAGGCGUGAUGACGAGGCACCACGGUGCUGAAGCAACAAAUGCCCUGCUUCCAGGAAAAGCCUCUAAGCAUCAGGUAACAUCAAAUCGUACCCCAAACCGACACAGGUGGUCAGGUAGAGAAUACCAAGGCGCUUGAGAGAACUCGGGUGAAGGAACUAGGCAAAAUGGUGCCGUAACUUCGGGAGAAGGCACGCUGACACGUAGGUGAAGUGAUUUACUCACGGAGCUGAAGUCAGUCGAAGAUACCAGCUGGCUGCAACUGUUUAUUAAAAACACAGCACUGUGCAAACACGAAAGUGGACGUAUACGGUGUGACGCCUGCCCGGUGCCGGAAGGUUAAUUGAUGGGGUCAGCGCAAGCGAAGCUCCUGAUCGAAGCCCCGGUAAACGGCGGCCGUAACUAUAACGGUCCUAAGGUAGCGAAAUUCCUUGUCGGGUAAGUUCCGACCUGCACGAAUGGCGUAAUGAUGGCCAGGCUGUCUCCACCCGAGACUCAGUGAAAUUGAACUCGCUGUGAAGAUGCAGUGUACCCGCGGCAAGACGGAAAGACCCCGUGAACCUUUACUAUAGCUUGACACUGAACAUUGAGCCUUGAUGUGUAGGAUAGGUGGGAGGCUUUGAAGCGUGGACGCCAGUCUGCGUGGAGCCGACCUUGAAAUACCACCCUUUAAUGUUUGAUGUUCUAACGUGGACCCGUAAUCCGGGUUGCGGACAGUGUCUGGUGGGUAGUUUGACUGGGGCGGUCUCCUCCUAAAGAGUAACGGAGGAGCACGAAGGUUGGCUAAUCCUGGUCGGACAUCAGGAGGUUAGUGCAAUGGCAUAAGCCAGCUUGACUGCGAGCGUGACGGCGCGAGCAGGUGCGAAAGCAGGUCAUAGUGAUCCGGUGGUUCUGAAUGGAAGGGCCAUCGCUCAACGGAUAAAAGGUACUCCGGGGAUAACAGGCUGAUACCGCCCAAGAGUUCAUAUCGACGGCGGUGUUUGGCACCUCGAUGUCGGCUCAUCACAUCCUGGGGCUGAAGUAGGUCCCAAGGGUAUGGCUGUUCGCCAUUUAAAGUGGUACGCGAGCUGGGUUUAGAACGUCGUGAGACAGUUCGGUCCCUAUCUGCCGUGGGCGCUGGAAGACUGAGGGGGGCUGCUCCUAGUACGAGAGGACCGGAGUGGACGCAUCACUGGUGUUCGGGUUGUCAUGCCAAUGGCACUGCCCGGUAGCUAAAUGCGGAAAAGAUAAGUGCUGAAAGCAUCUAAGCACGAAACUUGCCCCGAGAUGAGUCUUCCCUGAGACCUUGA